GAUCAUGGCUCAGGAUGAACGCUAGCUACAGGCUUAACACAUGCAAGUCGAGGGGCAGCAUGAUUGAAGCUUGCUUCAAUUGAUGGCGACCGGCGCACGGGUGAGUAACACGUAUCCGAACCUGCCGAUAAACUCGGGGAUAGCCUUUCGAAAGAAAGAUUAAUACCCGAUAGUAUAGUAUUUCCGCAUGGUUUCAACUAUUAAAGAAUUUCGGUUAUCGAUGGGGAUGCGUUCCAUUAG
rnacentral:rRNA from 1 species